ACUUUCCUCAGGACACAAAUUGCAUAUCAUAUAACAUUCAUAUGAACCUAAUGUUAUAUGAUAUGCAAUUUGUGUCCUGAGGAAAGUUCACAGUU